ACUCCUACGGGAGGCAGCAGUGGGGAAUAUUGCACAAUGGGCGCAAGCCUGAUGCAGCCAUGCCGCGUGUAUGAAGAAGGCCUUCGGGUUGUAAAGUACUUUCAGCAGUGAGGAAGGCGGGUACGUUAAUAGCGUGCUCGUUUGACGUUAGCUGCAGAAGAAGCACCGGCUAACUCCGUGCCAGCAGCCGCGGUAAUACGGAGGGUGCGAGCGUUAAUCGGAAUUACUGGGCGUAAAGCGCAUGCAGGUGGUUUGUUAAGUCAGAUGUGAAAGCCCGGGGCUCAACCUCGGAAUUGCAUUUGAAACUGGCAGACUAGAGUACUGUAGAGGGGGGUAGAAUUUCAGGUGUAGCGGUGAAAUGCGUAGAGAUCUGAAGGAAUACCGGUGGCGAAGGCGGCCCCGUCGGACGAGAAUACUGACACUCAGAUGCGAAAGCGUGGGGAGCAAACAGGAUUAGAU
rnacentral:rRNA from 1 species